UACGUAGGGUGCGAGCGUUAAUCGGAAUUACUGGGCGUAAAGCGUGCGCAGGCGGUUCGUUGUGUCGGCCGUGAAAGCCCCGGGCUUAACCUGGGAAUGGCCGUUGAAACUGGCGAACUGGAGUGUGGCAGAGGGGGGUGGAAUUCCGCGUGUAGCAGUGAAAUGCGUAGAGAUGCGGAGGAACACCGAUGGCGAAGGCAGCCCCCUGGGCUAACACUGACGCUCAGGCACGAAAGCGUGGGGAGCAAACAGG
rnacentral:rRNA from 1 species